CCCGCCACUAUACAUGCCCGCUUCUGUGGCCGAGUAGAGUCCAGUGGAGGCUCAAAGCAACCCGGCUUUAGGAAACAGAGACGCCCACAUAAAUGGGUGUCCCUGUGCCGAAAAGCCCGGAACAGUC
ensembl:snoRNA